AAUCUUUUUCUUGUUCGAGAUAUGCAGUUCCCUCACCUCACCUGUGCCGUGCCGCCUUCGGUUCGUGUGCAUAAAUAUUCAAAAUCCGCAACUACUCUCCGUCUCUCGUCGGAUGAAAUCAGUUUCGGUGAUUGGUGUUAGUCGCCGUUUUCAUCACUUACUCCGGAUUGUUUUCCUCAAUUUUUGCCUGGUGUUGGAUUUGUCUUCUCAAAUCCCCAAACGCCUGCUUGUUUGCGCUUUGAUGAAGCUGAGCUUGGGGCUUAUGCUGAGAGUGAGCUGCUGUUGGAUUGAGAUUGGGGAGGCCAGGCCGUGCAUUCGAAUCUCAUUAAUAAGGGUGUCACAUGUUGAGGUUUUGGGGACGAUAUUUCGUUUGCAAGGGGAGUUUGCUGAAAACCUAGGUCAAAACAUCGAUUAUACACUACACCUUCCUGUCUAUUUUCCAUGUAAGCAAAUGAAUCCAACGAAGCAGUAUCGCUGCAUGCACUCCGCCUGCUGCUUAUGUACAGCAGGGCACCUUACCGAAGAAAUCAUCUUCUUAGUCUUCAACCAACUAAACUGGAAUCCCAAAUUAAUCGCUGCAUUCUCUUGCACAUGUAAAUGGUUCGACGAUCUUGCCAAGCGAAUACUGUGGAAGGAAUUCUGCAAAACCCGAGCUCCAAAGAUGAUGCUCGAUUUACAGUCCAAUGGAAGCCAUAGCGUAGAUGGAAACUGGCGCGCCCUCGGUAAGCUCCUCAUAUACUGCUCAGGAUGCAACAAGGACGGGUUAUUCAAGAGCAACCAAAUCCCGGGACACUUUGUGUACAGGACUCGAUUCUCAAGGACAUCAGGCAAGAGCUUUCUGUUACCACAAUGCAGGACGGAUGUUCUAUACGUGUCUGAUCCAUGCGAGCAUCUCGACCAGGGGGAUGAUGGUGAUGUCGGAUUUUUCCGUGGGAUUUUCAAAUCUUUUGUCACAUCGAAGGUCAGGAAAAUGCUUAUAAGGAAAAGCGCACCACUGCAUCCGACGGAAGUGUGCCCUUACUGCAAAGCGAAGCUCUGGAACAUGCUGGCUGCAAAAAUGGUGCCAUCGAGCGCAAGCUGUCGCCUAGGCGCGUAUGAAGACUGCAUCGAGUAUUACGUUUGCCUUAACGGACAUAUGCUUGGGAUUUGCACGCUGCUGCCGUUGUCGGACACUGAUGAGGUGGCGUCGGAAGACGACGGAUAAGCUCAUGCAAAUAUAAUAUAUCAGGGAGCAAUUGAAUGCAACUAACUGCCUACCUGUUGAUGAAAAGAGAGAAUGGAUUGAUUGCUUCAAGGGAGUGGGCAGCACAGGUAGGGAAGUUACGGACCGCUGUUUUUGGCUUGUGUCAGUUCACGAGUGAUAGCACGUGCACGUGCAUGCAUUCGAUAUCCUCAUGUUGCCGAUGAAACCGCCUCUUGGUUUUCUGAGGAUGAAGCUUCGGAAGCCGAUUCCAGCUUCCGGAAGACGAACUUCUGCUGGGGCAAUUGGCCAUUGGAAAAGGCCGUGACCUCGGUGUCGACAAGUAUACUGUCCUCCUCCUUGUAGUCGCCUCUCAAAAUCCCCUUUGCGAGUUCGUUUUCAAUGUACUGUUGGAUCACUCGUUUCACCGGCCUUGCUCCGUAGUUCGGAUCAUAGCCGAGGCUCCCUAAGAGCUCUAUCGCUGCGUCGCUCACCUCUAUCUUCAUCUUCCGAUCGGCUACCCUUUUCUGCACCCGAUCCAACUGCCAUAAACACCAAGAGAAGAUAUUAGUCAAGCCGCAUUGUUCAGCAAGUGGGACAAAUGGGUAUUUACCUGUAAGCGAACGAUGCUGCUGAUCUGUUCCCGGUCGAGAGGCUGGAACACUAUAUACUCAUCGACCCGGUUCAUGAACUCGGGGCGGAAAAUUGCACGUGCAGCCUCCAUCACGCGAUGUUUUAUCGUCUCGUAAGCCAUCUCCGUGUUCUCAUCCUCCUGCGUGUUCAGUAUAUACUGCGAUCCGACGUUCGACGUCAUGAUAAUCACAGUAUUCGUGAAGCUCACGGUCCGCCCUUGUGAGUCGGUCACCCUCCCGUCGUCGAGGAUUUGAAGAAACACGUUGAAUACGUCGGCGUGGGCCUUUUCUAUCUCGUCGAACAGAAUAACAGCGUACGGCCUCCUCCGCACCGUCUCUGUUAACUGGCCCCCUUCCUCGUACCCAACGUACCCAGGCGGCGCCCCUAUCAGCCUCGACACAGCAUGCUUCUCCAUGUACUCGCUCAUGUCGAUUCUCACCAUCGCUUCCUCCGUGUUGAAGAGGUAAGAGGCGAGCGCCUUGGCCAGCUCGGUUUUCCCGACACCUGUAGGGCCCAUGAACAUGAAGCUCGCGAUUGGGCGGUUGGGGUCCGAUAAGCCCGCUCUCGAUCGCUGUAUGGCUUCUGCGACGGCUCGUACUGCAGGGUCCUGUCCGACUACGCGCUUGUGCAGCUCUUCCUCCAAGUGCAGGAGCUUCUCCCUCUCGGAUUGUUGUAGCUUGGAGAUGGGAAUUCCCGUCCAUUUGCUGACUAUUUCUGCGAUGUCGUUCCCGGUGACUUCCUCUCUGAGCAUCGACUUUCCCGACCUCAUGUACUCAUCCAAUUCUUUCUCUGCAGUGUCGAGCUGACGCUGCAGGGAAUUUAAGCUCCCGUAUUUCAACUCGGCCGCCCGAUUGAGAUCAUACUCUCGCUCGGCUUGCUGUAUCUCCAGAUUUACUCUAUCGAUCUGUAAAAGUUUUUAA